rnacentral:lncRNA from 1 species
GCAAUAUAGACCCUGUGACUUACCACUCCUCGCAACAGUCUGAUAUGAACUGAACAGGGUCCACGGCCCCUGAGAUCACUCUGGACUGUUUGCUUUUCCUGCCUGGAGCCCUUGAAACCUGAAGGGGCUUAGGGAAUUGGGCUGCUUGGGUUCAGAUGCAGACUCUUGCAAACCUCAGAAUCAGACAGUGAUGAUAUGACCAAGGAGCUUCGUACCCGCUGGGAGCACUAAUAACAACGGGGCCCUUUAAGCUUUUGGCCCAUGGUGGGAUCUUACUUGUUCCACACCUCCUGGCCCACUGCAUCUCCACUUCUAAGUCAUUCAUCUUGCUGCCUGGAGAAAACUUCUGGUGCAUGCCUACAACAAAGCAAAAUGCUGCUGCUACUUCUUUCCUUCCAUAGCAAAUGGGGACCCUCAGAGGAAAACCUUUUUUUGCUGUCCGAGCAGCCGUGAGGCAAAUCCCC